AACAGGAUUAGAUACCCUGGUAGUCCAUGCCGUAAACGAUGUCUACUAGCCGUUGGGGCCUUUGAGGCUUUAGUGGCGCAGCUAACGCGAUAAGUAGACCGCCUGGGGAGUACGGUCGCAAGACUAAAACUCAAAUGAAUUGACGGGGGCCCGCACAAGCGGUGGAGCAUGUGGUUUAAUUCGAUGCAACGCGAAGAACCUUACCUGGUCUUGACAUAGUAAGAACUUUCCAGAGAUGGAUUGGUGCCUUCGGGAACUUACAUACAGGUGCUGCAUGGCUGUCGUCAGCUCGUGUCGUGAGAUGUUGGGUUAAGUCCCGCAACGAGCGCAACCCUUUUCCUUAUUUGCCAGCGGGUUAAGCCGGGAACUUUAAGGAUACUGCCAGUGACAAACUGGAGGAAGGCGGGGACGACGUCAAGUCAUCAUGGCCCUUACGACCAGGGCUACACACGUGCUACAAUGGUCGGUACAAAGGGUUGCCAAGCCGCGAGGUGGAGCUAAUCCCAUAAAACCGAUCGUAGUCCGGAUCGCAGUCUGCAACUCGACUGCGUGAAGUCGGAAUCGCUAGUAAUCGUGAAUCAGAAUGUCACGGUGAAUACGUUCCCUGGCCUUGUACACACCGCCCGUCACACCAUGGGAGUGGGUUGCUCCAGAAGUAGCUAGUCUAACCUUCGGGGGGGGCGGUUACCACGGAGUGAUUCAUGACUGGGGUGAAGUCGUAACAAGGUAACC
rnacentral:rRNA from 1 species